ensembl:snoRNA SNORD38A small nucleolar RNA, C/D box 38A
UUUCAGUGAUGAUAACUUGUCCAGUUCUGCUACUGAUUUUUGGCGAUGACAUUUAACAUUCUGAGAGA